rnacentral:rRNA from 1 species
UUCCGGUUGAUCCUGGCAGAGGUCACUGCUAUUGGGAUUCGACUAAGCCAUGCGAGUUGAGAGGGUUCGGCCCUCAGCAGACGGCUCAGUAACACGUGGAUAAUCUGCCCUUAGGUGGAGGAUAACCUCGGGAAACUGAGAAUAAUACUCCAUAUGUCUAGGAUGCUGGAAUGCACUUAGGCUUAAAGCUCCGGCGCCUAAGGAUGAGUCUGCGGACUAUCAGGCUGUAGUCAGGGUAAUGACCUGACUAGCCUACGACGGAUAUGGGUUGUGAGAGCAAUAACCCAGAGAUGAUAUCUGAGACACGAUAUCAGGCCCUACGGGGCGCAGCAGGCGCGAAAACUUCACACUGUGCGAAAGCACGAUGAGGGAAUCCCAAGUGCUUGCUCGCAAGAGUAAGCUGUUUCUUUGUUUAAAAUGCAUUGAGAGUAAGGGCUGGGUAAGACGGGUGCCAGCCGCCGCGGUAAUACCUGCAGCUCGAGUGGUGAUCGCUAUUAUUGGGCCUAAAACGUCCGUAGCCGGUUUGAUAAAUGCCUGGGUAAAUCGUGUAGCUUAACUAUACGAAUUCCGGGUAGACUGUUAAACUUGAGACCGGGAGAAGCUAGAGGUACUCCUGGGGUAGAGGUGAAAUUCUGUAAUCCUAGGGGGACCACCAGUGCGAAGCGUCUAGCUAGAACGGGUCUGACGGUGAGGGACGAAGCCCUGGGGCGCAACGGAUUAGAUUACCCGGGUAGUCAAGGGUGUAAACGCUGCUUGCUUGAUGUUAGUGGCUCCUGAGCCAUUAGUGUUCGAAAAAAAGUUGUUAAGCAGCUGCUGGGAGUUACGUCGCCAAGAACCUGAAACUUAAGAAUUGGCGGGGACACACGCACGGGUGGACGGUGCGUUUAUUUGGAAUCCACGCCGAAUCUCACGGGAGGCGACGGUUUAUUGAGAGCCAGCUGAUGACUGGCGAAUUCAAAUGUCCUAUGCCCGUCGAUUCUAACGGUAGCGCUCUGUUAUUCACACGACGAGGA